AAGAACGCAAGCGUUGGAUGCGGCUAGGUAUACUGGCACUAUUGCUUCUUGCGUUCCAUGGCUCACUUGUGCUAAUUACCUGGAAGCUGCUGAAACACAUUACAGAUGAGUCAGAGCUUGAUGUGUAUAUUGCUCUCUUUUGGUUUGGUCUCUUUAUAGCUCUCCAAGCUGGGAAGUAUCUUGUUGACACUGCCUAUGAUUUUGAGCCCACUAGAAAGACCGAGUUCAUCCAUCUGUGCCUCCAUGCUUCCACACUUGUGGUGUUUCUCUUGCUGGGUCACACAAAAAUCUGAAAAAAUCACUCAAAGGUGGUUGCGCAUGCUGUUGCUUAUUUUCUUGAAAUCAUGGGUGCUGCAGCUAUCCAGUUUUAUUGCAAGGCCAGUGUUGAUAUUGAUGUGGCCGGCCUCUAAAGGUAUGGUUUCUGGAGGCAUGGAAAAAUAUAGCAUAAAGUGAGGGACUCAUUGUUUCAAUUAUACUUAUAUGCUUAUUCAUAUAGCUUAUUAGCAAUCAAAAUAAUGAGUAAAUUUUACGUUGGGUCACAUAUUUUGAAUGCAGACGAACUUAUGUCUGGUGAAGUCUUCUACGAGUACUUAUCAAGAUGCGGGUGGCGAAAUCAACUGGAUUGAUUGGAACGUUUGCAGGAGAGGAUUUCUACCAGGAAGCGGUUUCUUUUGGAUCGUCGCUAGUAGAUACUACUCCUUUGUGAUUGCACUGGUUUUUUGGCUAUUGUUCUAUCAUCCUUUGAUGCUCACAUGUAGCAUGAGGGUCUUAGGUACUCGGGG
rnacentral:lncRNA from 1 species